UUAGUACUCCCUCUGUCCGAAAAAGCUUGUCCCCCAAAUGGAUGUAUCUAGCACCAAGUUAGUGCUAGAUGUACCAUUUGAGGGACAAGCUUGGGACAAGUUUUUUUGGACGGAGGGAGUAUUCA
rfam:Triticum urartu cultivar G1812 contig767653, whole genome shotgun sequence.